rnacentral:rRNA from 1 species
CAGUAGCCACGGGAAUACGUAGGGUGCAAGCGUUAAUCGGAAUUACUGGGCGUAAAGCGUGCGCAGGCGGUUAUAUAAGUCAGAUGUGAAAUCCCCGGGCUCAACCUGGGAACUGCAUUUGAGACUGUAUGGCUAGAGUGUGUCAGAGGGGGGUAGAAUUCCACGUGUAGCAGUGAAAUGCGUAGAUAUGUGGAGGAAUACCGAUGGCGAAGGCAGCCCCCUGGGAUAACACUGACGCUCAUGCACGAAAGCGUGGGGAGCAAACAGGAUUAGAUACCCCAUAGUCCCUGUCUCUUAUACA